AUGCUUGCUUCGGUAGCACAUAUACUAAAAUUGGAACGAUACAGAGAAGAUUAGCAUGGCCCCUGCGCAAGAAAAAAAAAAAAAAAAGAAUGCUUGU
rnacentral:snRNA from 1 species